AGCGAACGCUGGCGGCAGGCUUAACACAUGCAAGUCGAGCGGGCAUAGCAAUAUGUCAGCGGCAGACGGGUGAGUAACGCGUGGGAACGUACCUUUUGGUUCGGAACAACACAGGGAAACUUGUGCUAAUACCGGAUAAGCCCUUACGGGGAAAGAUUUAUCGCCAAAAGAUCGGCCCGCGUCUGAUUAGCUAGCUGGUGAGGUAAUGGCUCGCAAAGGCGGCGAUCAGUAGCUGGUCUGAGAGGAUGAUCAGCCACAUUGGGACUGAGACACGGCCCAAACUCCUACGGGAGGCAGAAGUGGGGAAGAUUGGACAAUGGGCGCAAGCUUGAUCCAGCCAUGCCGCGUGAGUGAUGAAGGCCCUAGGGUUGUAAAGCUCUUUUGUGCGGGAAGAUAAUGACGGUACCGCAAGAAUAAGCCCCGGCUAACUUCGUGCCAGCCGCCGCAGUAA
rnacentral:rRNA from 1 species